rnacentral:rRNA from 1 species
UACGUAGGGUGCGAGCGUUAAUCGGAAUUACUGGGCGUAAAGUGUGCGCAGGCGGCAGAGCAAGUCGAGUGUGAAAGCCCCGGGCUUAACUUGGGAAUUGCGCUCGAAACUACUUUGCUGGAGUGUGGCAGAGGAAGGUGGAAUUCCACGUGUAGCGGUGAAAUGACGUAGAGAUGUGGAGGAACACCAAUGGCGAAAGGC